GCUUCUUUAAUUACACCUCUGCGCUAUUAAAUAAUUUGUUCCACUAUGCUGAAUUGGCACUUAUUUUUAUCACUAUGAACACCACCAAAAUUAAAGGGACCAACGUCUUCGUGAACUUGGCUUAGCAGCUCCUGGUAUAUGGUAGGUGCUAAGUUAAGUGCUUGAAUGAAUGAGGAUGUAGCCCAGAGUGAAUUGCACACUGCUUCAACGUGGUAGCUUCCAACCCCAUCAAGUAGGUGGAAGAAGGCGUGUCAGCCCCAUUGUACAGAGGACCUCUGACCUGCCCAAGGUCCAAGGGCCAGAGCUAGACCAGGCUACAUGCCUGAGCAGACACUUCAGCUCGUGGGAAAGUCACCUUCUCCCGCAGCUUCCGCUCCUUCCGCUCCUGCACGGUGGUCAGGUAGUUGACGGCCGCGUACUCCAGCACCGAGAGGAACACGAACACAAAGCUGACCCAGAGGUAGAUGUCCACGGCCUUGAUGUAGGAGACGCGGGGCAUGGAGGCGUUCACGCCCGUGAUGAUGGUGGACAUGGUCAGCACCGUGGUGAUACCUGCAAACAGAGUGAGAAACAAGCACCUGCUUGUCUUCCACCCAGCAUACCAGAGGGCUUCACACCUCUGUUCUUUGUCCCUCCUGCUCCUUCGGCCUCGAAUGUCUACAUCCCUGCCCCUCUGUCUAACAAACACUCGUCCUUCAAGAUUGAGCCUUUAUGAAGCUCUCCAGUUCCUCCUCCCCUCAUAUCACCCUUCCCCACUUUGUAUACCUGCUUACUCUUCAUAGCACCUGCAUCACCUCCUAUUGCUAAGAACCCCAGACAUUUUGGCAGCAAGACAUUUAUUUCCAUUCAAUGGUUAAAAGAAAAAUUACAUAAAUGUUUCUUGUAACUACUUCUCCAAAGAAGGGAACAAGUGCUUGGGUUUAUUUGACUAUUGGUGUCCUUGUUGUGUGGUCUCGUCUUGUAGUUCCAGGCCUGUAUCAUCAACUAUCAGGACACCUCUGGCAGACAAACCGCCCCCCCUCCCCCAUCCACUGGGCCUGCCUGCCUAUUCAGCAAUGUCCAUUUUAUCAAAGAUGAUGAUGUAAACCUCAUUUAAAGGAGACAGAUGCUUGGAAUGUGCACUUGAAAUAUUCCUUACCUAAGGGGACUCUGGCAGGCACAGCUCUGCGGUCAAUCCAGAAGGACACCCAGGACAGCAUGACCAUCAGGGUGGCAGGGAAAUAAGUUUGGAGCAAGAAGAAGAAGAUGUGGCGACGCAACGUGAAGUUGAUGUACAGACGGUUGUACCAGCCUGGGGGACACAAGGAAGAAAAUACAGCACACACCAUAGCUAUUCAGCUCCUUCAUAAAUCAAAUUUUAUUCAGGGAACCAUCAAUGUCUUAGACACUCCACUGGAACCUGGCCAGACCUUUACAAAGUGGAGGUGAGAAAAACCAUGGAACGGAGUGAUUAUAUGUUACCCAUACCACACGGAUGAUUCCAUCUCAAGAAAUCUUUGACCCCUGUUCUAUACACAAAGGGAAGGUCAUUUAAGGCUCUUGUUACUCACACGAUGGACAGGACCCAGCAGCAUCACCAUCACCCAGGAGCUUAGAAGUGUAGACUCUCGAUCCCCACCCCAGAUCUACUGAAUCAGAAUUUUCUCUUAAUAAUACUCCCCAUGUGAUUCACACACACAUUAAAGUUGGAGAGGCACAGAUUUAAACAACCCCGUUUGGAUGGUUUUAUGGAGGAAAGUGUGUUUUAAGUUAGAACAUCAAGCUAAACACAGCACCGCGUUUAGGAACACAGUGAACAAUCACAGGUCCAGUCACGCCUCAGCUUGGACUGUGUGGUCUUUACAAGGGAAAAAUAUGCAUGGAGGAGUUCAGAGGAAUGGGAGAACAAUGAAAGGAAAAGGUAAGAUAAGCUCGAGAUGACAAGGACUGGAAAUAAAAUGGGGACUUGGCAACAUUAAUUGGAAAACUUGGCAUCCAAUUGGCAAGUUUAAUGCAAUGUUUAUAAUUAUAACAGUUCCCAAAAGUGACUGUAGAGGUUCUGUGGACUGAAUGUUUUGUGUCCCCAAACCCACCCCUGAAAUCCAUAUGUUGAAACCUAAUGCCCAAUGUGAUGGUAUGGUGAGGAGGGACCUUUGGGAGGUGAUGAGGUUACGAAGGUGGAGCCCUCAUGAAUGGGAUUAGUGCCCUUACACAAGAGACCACAGAGAGUCUGGGAGGACACAACGAGAAGGGGGCUGUCCAUGAACUAGGAGGUAGGCUCUCAUCAGACACUGAAUCUGCCAGCACUUUGAUCUUGGACUCCCCAGGUCCCAGAACCGUGAGAAACAAUUUCUGUUAUUUAGAAGCCAGCCACCCAAUCUGUGGUAUUUGUGAGAGCAGCCCAAACAGGCUAAGACAAAAGGGAAUCUCACAGUGCUAAAGGUUCAAUGGAUGGGGAGCCCCUGAAGAACCAAGAUUUAUGGGUGAUAUGUAAAGAAGGUAAGAUGUGUUAGAUUGCCAUAAUAUGUUGGAAGUAACAGGUUGCCCAAUUUUUACAUCAGAAAGACCUAAAAGGUUGCACUUCCCUCUGUAGUCAAUCAUGCUAUGUAUUAGCAAUGGAAACUGCAUAAAGAUCCUAGCAAAAUCAUCCUGAAAGGUGAUUCAUCAAGAAAGAGGCAAGGGCUGGAAAGAGGAGAGACCUCAGCUGUUAACUUCAGAUUCCAGAGGGAAGACCACAGAGCAUACCCUCAGGCAACAGGAGGUGGCAAGCCUGCCCAGAACCUUAGUUCAAAAAACAAAUUGCCCACAGGGAAAUGACCAGUAGUUCUUGCACCGAGGCUCACAAGAAGGUCAUGAGAAGGAUCUGUGCAAGCAGCUCAGUAAGAGAAGAUCCCUUAAGACUGGAGCCCCGCAGAGGGCCUGGCUGAAGCAGAGAGAAUGUGAAUGGAAAAUGACAGACCUGAAGUUGGACUGCUUCUUGCCUGCAGAGAACAGGGGGUUUGGUAAUCGUAUCAGGGUGAGCUGCCUGAUGCUAAACAGUCAUUACUGAUGUUUUCUAGGUUCUCACUUCUGAUGCCUUGUUGACGUCAAAAAAUCACCUCCACCCAAUGCUCACCACCCCUUGACCUGAUUUAGCUUUCCCUUCUUUGGUGCCUAAUUCAAGUGGCACAGGCUCUACUCACUUGGCAGCCAGUUCGAACCCUUUUUUAAAAUAGAGGAUGGCCCAUCCCAGUCAGGCUAGCGCUCGCCAGACCCUCAGCCCACCCUACGCCCACCUGUGCUGCUGUAGAAGGCCAGCUUAGCGGUGGUGUGGAAUUCUUGAAUGAGGAACUGGGAGAGUGAGAUCCGCUCAUCUGUCUUUAAUGAGUCAUUGCCUUUUUUCCAGUACAGCAUCAGGUCAUCUUCUGUAUAAGCAUCUGAAAAGAUGGGAGAGAGCAUGAGGCAUGUGGCGGUGGGGAGACACGCCUGUCUGUGCAGCUCUGUGGCGUAGAGCUCCUAAUUCCUGCAAAAGGGUUCACUCCGCAAUUCAGCCUGCCAUCUAGUCAAUUAAACCAAACGGAAUCGCUGUUUCUGUAGACCACAAGUGGUUAAAUAAUGGCAGAAUUGCAUAUGGUUUUCAGCCUUCAAAACCAGGGCAAUUUAGCCCUUUCUUCUUUCCAAGUGUAGGGGUGCAUCACUGGUGGCAAAUGCUUUUGCCACUCUCCGUGAUAAGGAAAAGACCCAGAAAGAGACGGGAGCAGAGCACAUCCCUGUCCUGCAGGCCUCCCGCUGCUCCUGUCAGAACUACGUAGGAGCUGCAUGCUAACGUAUGGCACAAGGCUACUCACAGCUUUCAAUUUCAAGCGAGCAGGUUUGUGUGUCCAGGGGAAAUCGGCUGAAGUCCAUAUUGCACAUGGCGGUCACUGUAACCCUGAAAACAAGAAGAAACGUCCGGGUUCUCAGAGGAUGCAAACUACAAGUGCACAACGCAAAAACAGACAGAAACGGCCUCCUUCUUAUAAUUCCUAAGCAGUGCAUCAGGACUUAGAUGGAGCAGUUUACGAGUGAUACCCUCCUUAGCAUACUCUUAAGUAUUUAAGUUUAACCCCGGUGUCGAUGUGAGGCAAACAGAAUGCCUCUGCUAACUCCUAUCACGUUCAUGCAUUUUAAAGAAGCAAUGGUCUCAGUCAGUAUAACUGUGAUAUAAAAGAAACCAUAAGACCGUACAUAUGCAGGCAUACCUCAUUUUAUUGUACUUCACUUUAUUGUGAUUCACAGAUGUGUCUUUUUACAAACUGAAGGCAAGACCCCCCCCAGCAGCAAAAAGAUUAUGACUCGCUUUAUUGCAGUGGUCUAGAAUUGAACCUGCAAUAUCUCCGAGGUAUGCCUGUGUUGUUCCUCUGGUUUGAGGUAAAUUCAAAGUUCUUCUGUUCUUUUAUUGAUCAUAUUAAUAUCAAUAUGUUGGUAUUCAAUAUGUUGAUAUUGAUUAUAUUGAUAUUAUAUUUGUGUACUAUGUUUCAGAAGUAAUAUUAAUGAACCCUUAAUGCCAGUUGCCAAAUGCAGCACUUUUUUUUAGUGUUCAUAUUUUUAUAUUGAUAAUAAUGUCUACUAAUGAAUAUAGAUGUUUUUAGUGCAUAAGCCCAUGGAGACUAUAUAAUGGAAAAACACUGAGAGAUCUUAGUGUACCAACAUGCAAGCAUCUAAUGGUUUUGUUCUAUAAUUACACAGGAAAACAGGCUUCUGAAUCAAAGAAUAAACAAGUAGAUCAUCAGUCAUAGAAGAAAGCUCUCCCAUCUUAUGGCAGGACAUGACUAAUAUGGCUGGCACAAGGAGGCUCACUGACAACUUUGAUUCUGAACACUCAGGACUUCCCUUCUCUUGUUCCCUCUGUUCUGCCUCAUGCUGUCACAUCCAAUGAUGUGUUGAAUCAGACAUCUACCGGCUCAUGAGAGCCAAUAGCUGCAUUUUCAGGAGGUUUGCAAGCUGGUUGUUAAACAUAGCCAUUAUUAAAAAUAAGUUAUAUAAAUUUAAAAUUAAAUAAGUUAAGUGCUAAAAAUAAACGUAAUAAAUAUUCAAAACUCAUCACUUCUGAAUUAUUUUCUAUUAUCUAUACUCCUGAAGUUACCUACAUCUACUAUACUGUAUUUAUAUGAUGGAAAUACUAUCUAAAGAUGAGCUACCACCCAUUUCUUCCCAAUACUGCAUUCAGUGAUCAGAUAGCUUGAAAUCAGCCAGGAUGGGCAUAUCUACACUACAGAAACUGGCAAAUUCUGCAAAUCAGGGCUUAAUUUAUUGCUUUGCUGACUGUUUAGACUUAAGAAAGUGUCUAAAGAAAGCAGAUUAAACCUAACAUGUAUUAUGGCUAUCACCAUUACAUGCAAAAAAAGGGGGCUUAAGCGAACCGCAGAGCUGCAGGAGGGGGGUCAUUGAAAAGAAUGCAUUAUUUAUUUCUCUGACUCCCACUAGAAAAAUAAAACUUUUAUUAUAGUAAAGGUUUUCCAUUGAAAUGUAACAGACAGGGUGGAACAUAAGUCAUAGCUAUCAGCUUGAGGAAU